GGUUGUGGCCCAGUGGUAGAGUGCUCACCUGGCACAUGUGAGGCGCUGGGUUCGAUUCUCAGCACCA
rnacentral:tRNA from 1 species